UAGUAAUCGUGGAUCAGCAUGCCACGGUGAAUACGUUCCCGGGUCUUGUACACACCGCCCGUCACACCAUGGGAGUCGGUAACACCCGAAGUCAGUAGUCUAACCGCAAGGAGGACGCUGCCGAAGGUGGGAUUGACGACUGGGGUGAAGUCGUAACAAGGUACC
rnacentral:rRNA from 1 species